GCAUAACGCCACCAUUAAUGUGUAAUUUUGGUCCUGGACUGGGUUGUGCCCGUGUGCCUUACUUUUGGUCCACAAACGAAUUUUAAUGUGUAACCAUCUCAAAGGACAUUAAACCUUACGAGCAAAGAGAUACUGUUAACAACCUAACGAUAUCUUCCUCGAUCUAUCACUCUCACAGAUGAACUCAGAUAGCAAUGGUGGAUUACAGGAUCACAGAUACACGAAUUGGAGGAAGGAAGGUAAGGGGAAAGGAGGGUAGCCGCCGCCGGGUUCAUUCGUGAUCCACUGGAUAGGUUGUUCGUUGCUUUUGCCCAAGUAUUUGUAGCUGCAUCGGCCAGAGGAUUCCCAGCCGGGCCAGGCCCAAGUGAUGUCCAAAGGCAAGCCCAUAUGGGGUAGGGGGAGGGCCCUGACAUCCCCCCUCCUUGAGAUUCGGCUUGCCCCCAAGCCAAUGCCACCGAGACCCGCCUGAAUCCCAUUGCACUCGAUCGUCCUUGCCCCUUGAAUGGCGCCAUUGAGAACCGCCCGGGUCCCAUUGCCGUCGGUGUUGCUUGACUAGCUUGACGUCAUGGUGGUAGUCGAAGUCGGGGUUGACUUGAACAACGAGGUUGUAGUAGUCGUGGCCGAUGGCAACCUGACCAAAGGAGGUGUCGAGGAAGUAGUCGUUGUAGACGUUGAUGUAGUACUUGUGGUCGACGUAGCCUUGCACCAAGCCGGCAGCAAGAAUGACCACGAUGGCAUUCCCUACUUCUUGAAAAUGUUCUACGUCGCAACAUUGAGAGAACGACAUACCACUCAUGGCUUGUGCUUCAUGGUUGGUGAGCAUCGACAUCAGGAUCUUCAACGACCGAGGAUUGCAAGCUGGCAUGGCAACACUCCCGGGAUCCCAUGACUUGUGCACAAUUGCAUUUUGUAUGUGUUCAUGCAUGCUUGCAUUCUCAUCAGAGUCAGGUAGUGACAUCUACUGCUGAACUAACUGAUGAAUGGGCUUGUCCAUAUGAGAUAUUUGUUCCACUUUGCCCACUAUACCAUCUAGUUCAGCAACGUCUUGUGAUGGGCCUCUCAGGAUACUGAAUGUUAUAUCCAACCAAAAGUCUCCUGCUACGCUCCACUUCCUUGUAGAAAGAAGGGAAAUAAACAUAGAUGACUUGUUGUCAGGUAGCACAAUAUCCUCAAAAUUAAUCGGCGUCCAAGAGACCUUCUUGUCAAGCAAAGAUUCACCUAUGGUGUAACGCCCCGAGACCGUUGUGCCAGGUGUCCUCCAGUUAUUCGCUGUUGUUGCCUUGUCAUGCUUGCGUGUCAUGCAUCUCAUAUCAUGUCAUCAUGUGCAUCGCAUUUGCAUACAUGUUCGUCUCAUGCAUCCGAGCAUUUUCCCCGUUGUCCGUUUUGCAUUCCAGCGCUCCUAUCUCCUCCGGUGGUCAUUUCUACCUUCUUCUCGUGUGUGGGGGUUAAACAUUUCCGGAUUGGACCGAGACUUGCCAAGCGGCCUUGGUUUACUACCGGUAGACCGCCAGUCAAGUUUCGUAACAUUUGGACUUUGUUUGAUACUCCAACGGUUAACCGAGGGACCGAGAAGGCCUCGUGUGUGUUGCAGCCCAACACCCUUCCAAAGUGGCCCAAAACCCACCUAAACCUCCUCCAUCAUCUCGGUCGUUCGAUCACGAUCGCGUGGCCGAAAACCGCACCUCAUUUGGACUCUCCUAGCUCCCUCUACAUAUAAAUAUGUGCUCCCCUCCCGAAAUUCGCGGUGCAAAAUUUAAAAUCCCUCCCCUCGCGCCACCGGACAAAUCCUCCCACGCCGGACAAUGUCCGCGCCGCCGCGUCGGAACAAUCCGGGCGUGCCACGUCUCCCCUGGCCGUCUCCAGCCACCCUUGGGCCGCCAUGUGGCGUCGCCACCUCACCCCAGCGCUCCCCACCGUCGCCGGCCCUGCGAGCCCUGCCACAGCCCACCUGAGCCCAUCUGGGGCUCGGGACAGCCCCCGCGUCGCCUCCCGCUCCCUCGUCCCCGAGCUCCAGGGGAGGGAGCUCCCGCACCAGGCCCCGUCGGCGUCCUCGCCGGAGCUGCUCGCCGGAGCAGCAACGAGCUCCACCAGGUCGACCCCGUCCCUCUCCUCUCCCUUUUAUCUCUCUUCUCUUUUUCUCUCCCUGACCUCUCUGCGCUUCCAUGUGGUCAGCGCCGCCACUAGGGCUCCCUCGCCAACGCCCACGACGAACCGCCGUUGGAUCCAGCCGGAAUUGACCCGGCGCGACCAGAUCUGGUCAUCUCCAUGUCCCCGCGACCUCCCCGCCGUUGUUGCGCCGUCGCCGGCGUGCGCCGUCGCCGCCGUCUCUGCCUUUCGGUUCAUGCGGGCACGAGGAGGAAGAGCGCCUCUCGUGUGGGCCCCGCGUGGGCCGAUGCAGCCCAAGGCCCAGCUCCCGGCCCAGUCGCCCGGCCUGCUGUUUCCACCGCCUUGGGAAAAGGCCCACUGGGUGAGAACCCCGCUGUGCACUGUUGGCCCAGUCCGAUUCGGCCCGCCUCUAUUUUUUCCAGAUCUACAAUUUGUCUAUUUUUCCAGAGGAGAGCAUUUUUGCAGGAAAACCCUUGUGGAUCAUGCAUAUAAUAACUCAUGAAUUGUGCAUCGGAUCUAAGUAAGUUAUAUAUGAAACUUGCUUAGAAUUUUUUCUAGAUUCAUAAUAUCCAACUUUCAUCUAUGUUUGAAAUGUUUAAAAUGCUGUUUGAUUAAAUUUGCUCCUAUGUCAUGUUAAAAUGCUUUAAUUCAUAACUAAAUAAUCGUAGCUCGGAUUUAAACAAACUUUAUAUGUAAAUGGGGUAGAAAAAUGCCUAGUAUAACAUGGUGGCAUCACUUUGCAUGUUUAACAACUAUAAAAUAUGGUUUAGGGCAGAACAGUACCAAAUCUAUAAUAUGCUCAUGAGGAGUUUUUGGAUUUGUUGUUCGAUAUUCCGGCCUCAUUUAAACUUGCCUAGAUAGAUAGUUUUAUUGUGCUUCACCCUCUUGCCAUGUUAAUAAACAUUUAAUCUUGUUGGGUACAUAAACGAGAGAGAACUAAAUAAGUCAUGUGGUGUUUUCUUCAAUAUGCAACUCCGUUGCAUAAUGAGCUCCACUUAAUUUGUAGGAUUGUUUGUGCAUUUUGCCAUGCCAUGCCAUGUAUCAUUAAACCGGACAUACAUCAUACUUGGUUGUGCAUCAUGCCAUGUCCACGUGUUGUUUAUUUACUAUGUUGUGUGCUUCUUUCCGGUGUUGCUUCUUCGGGUUGGUUCCGUUAACGUCGCGUUUGUGAGGAACCGUUCGACUACGCUCGUUUUUCUUCUUCAUGGACUCGCUCUUCUUCCUUGCGGGAUCUCAGGCAAGAUGACCAUACCCUCGAAAUCACUUCUAUCUUUGCUUGCUUAGUUGCUCACUCUUUUGCUAUGCCUAUGCUGCGAUACCUACCACUUGCUUAUCAUGCCUCCUAUAUUGUUGAACCAAGCCUCUAACCCACCUUGUCCUAGCAAACCGUUGAUUGGCUAUGUUACCGCUUUGCUCAGCCCCUCUUAUAGCGUUGUUAGUUGCAGGUGAAGAUUGGAGUUUGUUCAAUGUUGGAACAUGGAUAUUUUGUUGGGAUAUCACAAUAUCUCUUAUUUAAUUAAUGCACCUAUAUACUUGGUAAAGGGUGGAAGGAUCGGCCUUAUGCCUAGUGUUUUGUUCCACUCUUGCCGCCCUAGUUUCCGUCAUAUCGGUGUUAUGUUCCUGGAUUUUGCGUUCCUUACACGGUUGGGUUAUAAUGGGAACCCCUUGACAGUUCGCCUUGAAUAAAACUCCUCCAGCAAGGCCCAACCUUGGUUUUACCUUUUGCCACCUAGCCUUUUUCCCUUGGGAGUCACGCAUCCCGAGGGUCAUCUUAUUUUAACCCCCCCGGGCCAGUGCUUGUCUAAGCGUUGGUCCAAACUAGAGCCCCUUGCAGCGCCACCUCGGAGAAACUCGAGGGCUGGUUUUAGUUGUACGGAUUGCUUAUCCGGUGUUGCCCUGAGAACGAGAUAUGUGCAGCUCCUAUCGGGAUGUCGGCACAUCGGGUGGUCUUGCUGGACUUGUUUUACCAUUGUCGAGGAUGUCUUGUAGAACCGGGAUACCGAGUCUGAUCGGAAUGUCUCGGGAGGAGGUCUAUUCCUUCGUUGACCGUGAGAGCUUGUCAUGGGCUAAGUUGGGACACCCCUGCAGGGAUUUGAACUUUCGAAAGUCGUGCCCGCGGUUAUGGGAAGAUGGGAAUUUGUUAAUGUCCGGUUGCAGAAAACCUGAAGUUGACCUUAAUUAAAAUACAUCAACCACGUGUGUAACCGUGAUGGUCUCUUCUCGGUGGAGUCUGGGAAGUGAACACGGUGUUGGAGUUAUGCUUGACGUAGGUUGUUUUAGGAUCACUUCUUGAUCAUACUUUUAUCGACCGUGCUUUGCCUUCUCUUCUCGCUCUCACUUGCGUAUGUUAGCCACCAUAUAUGCUAGUCGCUUGCUGCAGCUCCACCUCACCCUUUUACCUUACCCAUAAGCUUAAAUAGACUUGAUCGCGAGGGUGCGAGAUUGCUGAGUCCCCGUGGCUCACAGAUACUUCAAAAACCAGCUCGCAGGUGCCGAUGAGACCGUGCAGGUGACGCAAGCAAGCUCAAGGAGGAGCUCAAUGAAGAUCUUGUCCUUUGUUUUGUUUCAUUCUAGUUGAUCAGUAGUGGAGCCCAGUUGGGGUCGAUCGGGGACCUUGUCGCAUUUGGGGUUCUUCUUUUAUUUUGGUUCCGUAGUCGGACCUUGAUUGUAUCUGGAUGAUGUAAUGCUUUAUUCAUGUAUUUGUGUGAAGUGGUGAUUGUAAGCCAACUAUGUAUCUCUUUUUCCUUAUGUAUUACAUGGGGUAUGUGAAGAUUACCUCACUUGCGACAUUGCUUUCAAUGCGGUUAUGCCUCUAAGUCGUGCUUGACACGUGGGAGAUAUAGCCGCAUCGAUGACGUUACAAGUUGGUAAUCAGAGCCUUCCCCGACCUUAGGAGCCCCCACUGAUUGAUCGUUCUUAGAAGCUGUUGUUGAGUCUAGAAAAAAUGUUUUGAGUCAUUUAGGAAUUAUAUAUCGGAGAGUUUAGGAAUUCUUUUUACUCCCCAGUCUCCUCACCGCUCUGGUAAGGCAUCCUGACGUAGAGUUUUGACUCUUCUCUUCUCAAAUUUCACUAAAUUUUUUUAGGAUCACGCGGGUAUCUUGGAAUCGUUCCGAUGGUUUUGUGACGAGAACAUUGUCUUGGUGCCUCCUGUCAGGGGUUUUGUGGAAGUGUCCCGGGGAGUUGAGCUCUGAGGUGUUGUCGUCAUAAUUUUAUCGUUGCAGUUCUGGAAUACCUGAGUUUAUUACGCCGACAUCGAAAAUCUCUUUUAUGCAGUUCGUUGGUGAGAUAACCUCGACGCCACCCAGUACUGGGGCGGGAGUUCGGGAGUAUUGCCAUAACUCGUAUAACGGAUGCUUUUCGAAGGUUGAGGUAGACGAUUUCCGAAGGUUUCUUGGUUAUGUGUUGAAGGAUGGAUACAACUGGAUGUAGGAUUUGUUAGUUUUGGGUGAGAUAUUAUGCUUCCCCUGAAUCCCCAACACCUGAUUGCAUAACCGGAAAGGUUCGGGAGUUUCAUAAGUGGGAAUUCAAGUAGCUCUUAGGAUAUCUUUUCGACAGAUGUAUGAUAUGAAAUUGGGGUUCGACGUCUAGUGGUCCGCCUAUCCACGGUCGGUUUUACAGUGGUCUCGUUGUGUCUUAAAGAGUCCUUGGCUUUGCCGACUCGGGGACGCUUCGUAUGUCAUGUGCACUGCCUUGUACAUGAUGGUGCUGUACGAUCGAGCCCGUGUAGGCCCCACCACGAAAACUUCGGACAAAAUCUCUAUCAUAUGUUUGUUCCGGCUUAUUCGGCAAGCCAAUCCUUGUUUUGUUUUUGAGUUGUGGUAUUCGAGUUGCUUCGAAGUCAAGUGUUGAUUCCAUACCUUUCCUAAACGGUGUUCUCAUACUCCGAUGUGAAUACAAAUCCUUCAUGAUAAUCGAGAUUGUCAUGUCAAUCCUUUGCACCGAUGUGCUUCUCUUCAAGUGGAUCCGAUCAUUUCAACAUCCGCAAGAUCAAUUCUAAGUUUCUCAAUGGUGUUCGUUUCAUCCAUUCCAAAUUGUCUUUGUUUUUCCCACCCUCCCUCCCUUGUUUUUCUUCAAGGAUUCAGAUUUCUUAAUCACUAUCCAUUUUAUUGAUGGAAGUCCCUCCGUUCUAUUUCCUUCAUGUUCUUAUCCGGUGAUUCUCAUGAAGAUACUAACGGAGCUUCUAGUUCAUCAUUCUUCAUUUCUUUUAUCUUCUCCGGUGGUUUCAAGUCAAGCUUUGUUGAUCUUACCCUUUCCUCUUUUCAAUGUCUUCUCAUACCGGUGCACCUCAUAAUAAUUCACUUCUCACUAUUCUUUUGUUUCGGCGUGCUCAAGCUUUCUCAAAAGGCUCGUCUUGUCAUUCAAGAUCCGUUCAACCUAGUUCGAGGUUGUUAUCUUAUUCAAGCCAUUUAAUUCAACUGGUGCAAUAUCUCUUUUCAAGUAAUCAUUUCAACGGUGUUUCUUUUGAGUGGGCCCUAACCCACAGGUCUUUUCCCAGGAUCUUACCUGACUCUUCUUAUUUUCCCGGAGCUAUCCUAAAUUCUUUUUGAAGUUUGACGUAAGAAUGAGUUAUCAUCAGUCAAAUGCCUUCUCCAAGAUCUUUCACACUAUUUUCAUCGUUGGCUCAACCUUUUCCAUUCUUCAUUCGGAGUGCCUCAACAAUUCAUGGUGGUGUUCCUCAUCGUCAUUCUCUGCAGUUGGAGACCGAAGAAGAGUUUCUUUUAAAUAUUGCCCCAUUCUCUGCCAUCCUCUCAUAAUUGUUUUCGUUUGUGAGAUUUUCACCCAUCCAGAGUAAUUCAGGAGUCUUUUCAGUUUGAUUCUCUGAAGUCCAUCAUUUCGGGAUUAUUCAUUCUCAGCUUUCAGCUAUCAUUCUCCAAAUUUUACCGGUGCAUCGUUCAAGUGAUCUUUAAUCGGCUCGUGAUCUCUUCGUUCUCAUGUUUCUAAAUCCUCUAAAUCUAUGUUCAUUUUAUAAUUCUUCCCGGUGUUUUCUUUGCCUUUACUUCAAUCGUUUUUCAAUUCUUACGGUGGUUCGUUCAAGAUCUCUCUUCCGUAUCAAUUCAUUCGUUCUUUCAAUCCCGACGGGUGAUUUGUUGAAGACCUUCUCAAGUUGGCGCUAUAUCUGUCUUAAUGCUCGCUACGAGAAUAAGUAGUAUGUCAAAUCCGUUGAUUGUCAUCAAUUUAAUUGAUGAAGGAUAAACAUAAUGUAAUUCUUAUUCUUGUUUCAUCGAGUAAAUUCAAUUCCUUAUUUCGGAGCCUCAUCAAAACUCUCGGUUUCACUUGUUUAAUCUUUAUUUCCGGAGCUCAAAGUUAUUUAAUUAUAUCAUUCCAAAGAUCUAUCUAAUCAUUGCAAGGAUUCACCUUGUGUUUUCAACUUCUCUUUCCUUUCGAUUGAUCAUUCUUUUAUUACCGGAGUUCUUCAUGGAGGCUCUACAUGAUGGUUCAUCAAGGAUUUAAUUCCUUCUCAAAGUGUUCAUUGAGAUUCUUUUCAGAGGAGCUCAAGCAUUCUCCAUCUUGCAAUCCGAGUGCAAUUCCCUCUACCAUAUCAUCGGAGGUGGUAUUAUGUCAUUCUUGAUAAUUUGAGUUCAUGUUUCAUGAUUCACAGGUUGUUAAGAAUGGGGUAUUUUAAAUCCAUCAACCUAUUCGUUGGAAUUACCUUGGGUUAUAUUUCACCUAGAGCGUUCCCUAAGGAUUGUUGCUACUUAUGGUGCUUAUAAAUGACCCAAGUUCUUCAUCUAUCCUCCCGGUGAAUAGGUUUCUCGUCUCCUUGUUGAUAUCAACCCAAUCUUUGAUUUUGUUAGUGGCAGGUUGUCACCUCAUAAUUUGAGAUGUAUUCCAUAAGACCAUGGCAAGUUUAUCCUUUUUCGUUGCUGGUGUUCCAACAACUCCAUUCGACCCUUCUCCUAAGGAUGCCUUAUCAAACUCUUUUGUGGCAAAAGUUGGCAUUUUCUUCUCCAUUCUUUUAUUUUAAUCAUCUAUCUUCUAUUUCUUUCUCCUGGAGGCAUUGUGUUGUUUCUCUCUUCGAACCUUCUUCUUGUCCUUGUCAUGCUUAUCCUUUUAACCGGAGUGUUGUGCCCCUUUGCUCAUGCUCUUUCAUUUUAUCAAGUCUUUCAUCUCUUUCCAACUGGAGUGUUGUCCGAAUUUGCUCUUCCUUGUUUUCCUCUUCCCUACCGGAGUGCUUUCAACUGCAUUCAUCUCCGUUGUAUUCUUUUCUCCAUAUGGAUUAACCUCUUCAAGGUUCCUUGGUUUCACUCGUUUUCCAAAGAAGCAAUUUAGUUUUACCUCUUCUCUUUCUCUUCCGUUUGUCCCUCCGGUGCCAUUCUAGAUCUUGGGACGAGAUCCUCUCGUAGUGGUGGAGUGUUGUAACGCCCCGAGACCGUUGUGCCAGGUGUUCUCCAGUUAUUUGCUGUUGUUGCCUUGUCAUGCUUGCAUGUCAUGCAUCUCAUAUCAUGUCAUCAUGUGCAUCGCAUUUGCAUACAUGUUCGUCUCAUGCAUCCAAGCAUUUUCCCCGUUGUCUGUUUUGCAUUCCGGCGCUCCUAUCUCCUCCGGUGGUCAUUUCUACCUUCUUCUCGUGUGUGGGGGUUAAACAUUUCCGGAUUGGACCGAGACUUGUCAAGCGGCCUUGGCUUACUACCGGUAGACCGCCUGUCAAGUUUCGUACCAUUUGGACUUCGUUUGAUACUCCAACGGUUAACCGAGGGACCGAGAAGGCCUCGUGUGUGUUGCAGCCCAACACCCUUCCAAAGUGGCCCAAAACCCACCUAAACCUCCUCCAUCAUCUCGGUCGUUCGAUCACGAUCGCGUGGCCGAAAACCGCACCUCAUUUGGACUCUCCUAGCUCCCUCUACCUAUAAAUAUGUGCUCCCCUCCCGAAAUUCGCGGUGCAAACCUUAAAAUCCCUCCCCUCGCGCCACCGGACAAAUCCUCCCACGCCGGGCAAUGUCCGCGCCGCCGCGUCGGACCAAUCCGGGCGUGCCACGUCGCCCGUGGCCGUCUCCAGCCACCCCUGGGCCGCCAUGUGGCGUCGCCACCUCACCCCAGCGCUCCCCACCGCCGCCGGCCCUGCGAGCCCUGCCGCGGCCCACCUGAGCCCAUCUGGGGCUCGGGACAGCCCCCGCGUCGUCUCCCGCUCCCUCGUCCCCGAGCUCCAGGGGAGGGAGCUCCCGCACCAGGCCCCGUCGGCGUCCUUGCCGGAGCUGCUCGCCGGAGCAGCAACGAGCUCCACCAGGUCGACCCCGUCCCUCUCCUCUCCCUUUUCUCUCUCUUCUCUUUUUCUCUCCCUAACCUCUCUGCGCUUCCACAUGGUCAGCGCCACCACCAGGGCUCCCUCGCCGACGCCCACAACGAACCGCCGUUGGAUCCGGCCGGAAUGGACCCGGCGCGACCAGAUCCGGUCAUCUCCAUGUCCCCGCGACCUCCCCGCCGUUGCUGCGCCGUCGCCGCCGUCUCUGCCUUUCGGUUCGUGCGGGCACGAGGAGGAAGAGCGCCUCUCGUGUGGGCCCCGCGUGGGCCGAUGCGCCCCAAGGCCCAGCUCCCGGCCCAGUCGCCUGGCCUGCUAUUUCCACCGCCUUGGGAAAAGGCCCACUGGGUGAGAACCCCGCUGUGCACUAUUGGCCCAGUCCGAUUCGGCCCGCCUCUAUUUUUUUCAGAUCUACAAUUUGUCUAUUUUUCCAGAGGAGAGCAUUUUUGCAGGAAAACCCUUGUGGAUCAUGCAUAUAAUAACUCAUGAACCGUGCAUCGGAUCUAAAUAAGUUAUAUAUGAAACUUGCUUAGAACUUUGUCUAGAUUCAUAAUAUCCAACUUUCAUCUAUGUUUGAAAUGUUUAAAAUGCUGUUUGAUUAAAUUUGCUCCUAUGUCAUGUUAAAAUGCUUUAAUUCAUAACUAAAUAACCGUAGCUCGGAUUUAAACAAACUUUAUAUGUAAAUGAGGUAGAAAAAUGCCUAGUUUAACAUGGUGGCAUCACUUUGCAUGUUCAACAACUAUAGAAUAUGGUUUAGGGCAGAACAGUACCAAAUCUAUAAUAUGCUCAUGAGGAGUUUCCGGAUUUGUUGUUCGAUGUUCCGGCCUCAUUUAAACUUGCCUAGAUAGGUAGUUUUAUUGUGCUUCACCCUCUUGCCAUGUUAAUAAACAUUUAAUCUUGUUGGGUACAUAAACGAGAGAGAACUAAAUAAGUCAUGUGGUGUUUUCUUCAAUAUGCAACUCCGUUGCAUAAUGAGCUCCACUUAAUUUGUAGGAUUGUUUAUGCAUUUUGCCAUGCCAUGCCAUGUAUCAUUAAACCGUACAUACAUCAUACUUGGUUGUGCAUCAUGCCAUGUCCACGUGUUGUUUAUUUACUAUGUUGUGUGCUUCUUUUCGGUGUUGCUUCUUCGGGUUGGUUCCGUUAACGUCGCGUUUGUGAGGAACCGUUCGACUAUGUCCGUUUGUCUUCUUCAUGGACUCGCUCUUCUUCCUUGCGGGAUCUCAGGCAAGAUGACCAUACCCUCGAAAUCACUUCUAUCUUUGCUUGCUUAGUUGCUCGCUCUUUCGCUAUGUCUAUGCUGCGAUACCUACCACUUGCUUAUCAUGCCUCCUAUAUUGUUGAACCAAGCCUCUAACCCACCUUGUCCUAGCAAACCGUUGAUUGGUUAUGUUACCACUUUGCUCAGCCCCUCUUAUAGCAUUGUUAGUUGCAGGUGAAGAUUGGAGUUUGUUUAAUGUUGGAACAUGGAUAUUUUGUUGGGAUAUCACAAUAUCUCUUAUUUAAUUAAUGCAUUUAUAUACUUGGUAAAGGGUGGAAGGCUCGGCCUUAUGCCUAGUGUUUUGUUCCACUCUUGCCGCCCUAGUUUCCGUCAUAUCGGUGUUAUGUUCCCGGAUUUUGCGUUCUUUACGCGGUUGGGUUAUAAUGGGAACCCCUUGACAGUUCGCCUUGAAUAAAACUCCUCCAGCAAGGCCCAACCUUGGUUUUACCUUUUGCCACCUAGCCUUUUUCCCUUGGGAGUCGCGCAUCCUGAGGGUCAUCUUAUUUUAACCCCCCCGGGCCAGUGCUUGUCUAAGCGUUGGUCCAAACUAGAGCCCCUUGCAGCGCCACCUCGAAGAAACUCGAUGGCUGGUUUUAGUUGUACGGAUUGCUUAUCCGGUGUUGCCCUGAGAACGAGAUAUGUGCAGCUCCUAUCGGGAUGUCGGCGCAUCGGGUGGUCUUGCUGGACUUGUUUUACCAUUGUCGAGGAUGCCUUGUAGAACCGGGAUUCCGAGUCUGAUCGGAAUGUCUCGGGAGGAGGUCUAUUCCUUCGUUGACCGUGAGAGCUUGUCAUGGGCUAAGUUGGGACACACCUGCAGAGAUUUGAACUUUCGAAAGCCGCGCCCGCGGUUAUGGAAAGAUGGGAAUUUGUUAAUGUCCGGUUGUAGAAAACCUGAAGUUGACCUUAAUUAAAAUACAUCAACCGCGUGUGUAACCGUGAUGGUCUCUUCUCGGCGGAGUCCGGAAAGUGAACACGGUGUUGGAGUUAUGCUUGACGUAGGUUGUUUUAGGAUCACUUCUUGAUCAUACUUUUAUCGACCGUGCUUUGCCUUCUCUUCUCGCUCUCACUUGCGUAUGUUAGCCACCAUAUAUGCUAGUCGCUUGCUGCAGCUCCACCUCACCCUUUUACCUUACCCAUAAGCUUAAAUAGACUUGAUCGCGAGGGUGCGAGAUUGCUGAGUCCCCGUGGCUCACAGAUACUUCAAAAACCAGCUCGCAGGUGCCGAUGAGACCGUGCAGGUGACGCAACCAAGCUCAAGGAGGAGCUCGAUGAAGAUCUUGUCCUUUGUUUUGUUUCGUUCUAGUUGAUCAGUAGUGGAGCCCAGUUGGGGUCAAUCGGGGACCUUGUCGCAUUUGGGGUUCUUCUUUUAUUUUGGUUCCGUAGUCGGACCUUGAUUGUAUCUGGAUGAUGUAAUGUUUUAUUCAUGUAUUUGUGUGAAGUGGCGAUUGUAAGCCAACUAUGUAUCUCUUUUCCCUUAUGUAUUAUAUGGGUUGUGUGAAGAUUACCUCACUUGCGACAUUGCUUUCAAUGCGGUUAUGCCUCUAAGUCGUGCUUCGACACGUGAAAGAUAUAGCCGCAUCGAGGGCGUUACAUAUGGCUUUCUUACUGAAGCAAGACAACUGAGCAAGAAUAAUGAUGUUAAGUGGCCUUGGGGACUCCAGCUGAAACAAUGCAAAAUAAUUCCCAGGCUCUGUAACAUGUUGCUGCAACUUAGCUACAAUAGGUUUCUGUAUCAAAUGGUGAACAGGUCCAGUAGUGUCGUCAAACAAGUACUUCGCUGGUAGAUCGCUUGGGAAGGCUGUGGCGAUAUGUACCAUAAGCUGUUGAUAAGCAUUUCCACCCAGCAUUAUUUCACCAAAUGAGGAGCGAAACUCGAAAGGGACCAGUAGUACAGUAAGCGGAAUUCUAGCUCCAGAACCACCAAUCAUUUGUUUAGAAUUGCAGUUCAUAUCAAGAUGGUCACUCCUCUUAUAUUCCCUUUGACUCAAAAAUAGCCAAUACAUGCUCAUGGUCCUCAUGGUCCCUAGCAACUUCUCAUGCCAAGGAAUAUUACAUGUAGCAGCUUGCUCCAGAAAGUGAUGUUCCGACAAGUUCCACUGCUCCUGGCUUUGAUGCACAAUGUCACCAGCACCCCAUAAUUUCUCAAGGCAAAAACAGCCAGCCAACUCACUGAUGUGCACAUGAUUAAUAAACUGAUGCUCAAUAAAUUCUACAAUUUGUAGUUCAGACAAACCAUGCACUUCUCGAGGAUUGUUGGAUGGUAGCAGAAACUGAAAAUCAUGCCUAAGGCAGGGCCUGCAGACAGUUGUUUUCCGCACAAAACUGAGAGUCCAUGCAACUCCACAUUGUAAUUGUUCAAAAGAACUAGGGAGAUCAGACUGAAUGGUGAAAUCAUUGCUAUUUGUUCCGGGAUGUGCACAAUAACAGAUCAUCUCACUACCACAAUCGUGCUUAGUGGAAACCAAGAAAGUGAGUUGCUCUUGUUCAGCAAAUGCACAAAGUUCAGAAAACCACUGUUUACUGUAAUGAAAGAGCUUCACAUGUGUAUUGAGGCAUGAAUCAUCUUCAUCUUGUUGCAAAGACCACAAACAUAGGAGCUGACCUGGGAAUAUCCUUAUGCCGUUUCCAAGAAGACCACACACAAGAUUUCCAACAUGGCUUAAUUCCAUCAGAAAUCUACUACUAAUCAAACCACUGUCAUGCACUUGAACUAACAUAAUUAGAUGCUUCAUGAACCUUCCAAUUAGAAACGAUGGCCAUGGAAUGGGUCGGACCUCGUUUCCGUCUGCUGAUACAAGAUGCACACAAUCACACUUCUCUAAUGGCACACUGACUUCAAACGACUUCAGUCGCACACUUGGUAGAUACCUCCAGUAUUCUCUCAAAAAAUUCAGAGCAACCGGCAAACGCUGCACCACAUAAGUAACUUGCAACAGCAGCCCUUCAUAAUUCAGAGUCGUGCCUUCAAGAGAACCAGCAAACGACGGCCACGGCGCGGGCCGUACAUCAUUGCCGUCAGCAAAAUGCAUCUGAAAUGAUGACCACGGAGUCGGUCGGACCUCGUUUCCCUCUGCAAUAUGAUCCACCAGAAACGAUGGCCAUGGUGACGCCCGUAUCAGCAGCCCUGCAUGCCCCGGCGAGACGUCCAGGUCGUGGUUCCGGAACGGCUGCACGACGGCAUCGGUGCCCGAGUGAAUGAGAUCCGUGACGAGCAUUGGUGCGGCUGUUGAGAGGAGCGGCACUGUCAUGACUGAAGGUGGGAACGCCCUCGUGUUGUUGUCCUGGUUCGAGCAUUCUGUCGAACAGGUCACGGGCUUGUCAUUGAUGGAGUCCUCGGACGCAUCGUGGGGGACCACCCGGGCCUCAGUGGUGGAGGAGGGGGUGCCGGGGAGGACGGCGAGCUCGGUGACGACUUCUGGAAUAUCCUCCACCCAUGUGUGCUCGUCCAUGCCCGUGUCGGGGACGUGGCGGUUGCUGUCGAGGGAAGACUCAGGGGAUGUGUCGUGGACCUCCUCGUCGAUGGUGGGUGAAGUAGUCGUGGAUGCGAGGUCGAUGUGAGACGAGGUAGCAGUAGCAGGAGGAGGGGAGGCAGGCAGAUCGACUUGUGAGGUAGCCCCGACUGGAUCGCCCGCACGCGCGGCCGCGAACUCGGACUUGAUGCUAUCCAUCUGCGCCGAUAGCUGCGCGAGAAACCACAACAUCUGCUCGUCUGCGGUCAUGGUGUCCCACUCCGGUGGAUAGACCAGGGAACAAGGAGACUGCUCCUGAUCGGACAUGGUGCCGUCGCCGGUGGAAAUUGGGAAAUCGAGGAGGUGGUGGUGAAAUUUACUGGCUCUGAAUACCAGAUGUUAACAACCUAACGAUAUCUUCCUCGAUCUAUCACUCACAGAUGAACUCAAAUAACAAUGGUGGAUUACAGGAUCACAGAUACACGAAUUGGAGGAAGGAAGGUAAGGGGAAAAGAGGGG
rnacentral:lncRNA from 1 species